rnacentral:sRNA from 1 species
UAUAGGUUCAGUGGUUACAGAUCCGUUC